rnacentral:rRNA from 1 species
GACGAACGCUGGCGGCGUGCCUAAUACAUGCAAGUCGAACGCUGAUUUUCUAACUAAUGCUUGCAUUGACUUGAAAAUCGGAGUGGCGAACGGGUGAGUAACACGUGGGUAACCUGCCCUAAAGCGGGGGAUAACAUUUGGAAACAGAUGCUAAUACCGCAUAACCAUGAAAGACACAUGUCUUUUAUGUGAAAGGUGGCGUAAGCUAUCACUUUAGGAUGGACCUGCGGCGUAUUAGCUAGUUGGUAAGGUAACGGCUUACCAAGGCAAUGAUACGUAGCCGACCUGAGAGGGUAAACGGCCACAUUGGGACUGAGACACGGCCCAAACUCCUACGGGAGGCAGCAGUAGGGAAUCUUCCACAAUGGACGAAAGUCUGAUGGAGCAACGCCGCGUGAGUGAAGAAGGGUUUCGGCUCGUAAAACUCUGUUAUUGGAGAAGAAGGAUAGUAAGAGUAACUGUUUACUAUUUGACGGUACCCAAUCAGAAAGUCACGGCUAACUACGUGCCAGCAGCCGCCGUAACAC